rnacentral:rRNA from 1 species
CCUACGGGGGGCAGCAGUGAGGAAUAUUGGUCAAUGGGCGCGAGCCUGAACCAGCCAAGUCGCGUGAGGGAUGAAGGUUCUAUGGAUCGUAAACCUCUUUUAUAAGGGAAUAAAGUGUGGGACGUGUCCUAUUUUGUAUGUACCUUAUGAAUAAGGAUCGGCUAACUCCGUGCCAGCAGCCGCGGUAAUACGGAGGAUCCGAGCGUUAUCCGGAUUUAUUGGGUUUAAAGGGUGCGUAGGCGGCCUUUUAAGUCAGGGGUGAAAGUCUGUGGAUCAACCAUAGAAUUGCCGUUGAAAAUGGGGGGCUUGAGUAUGUGUGAGGCAGGCGGAAUGCGUGGUGUAGCGGUGGAAUGCUUAGAUAUCACGCAGAACCCCGAAUGCGAAGGCAGCCUGCCAGGCCAUGACUGACGCUGAUGCACGAAAGCGUGGGGAUCAAACAGGAUUAGAUACCCUUGUAGUC